CAGGCUUAACACAUGCANAGUCGAGGGGCAGCAUUUUAGUUUGCUUGCAAACUAAAGAUGGCGACCGGCGCACGGGUGAGUAACACGUAUCCAACCUGCCGAUAACUCGGGGAUAGCCUUUCGAAAGAAAGAUUAAUAUCCGAUAGUAUAUUAAAACCGCAUGGUUUUACUAUUAAAGAAUUUCGGUUAUCGAUGGGGAUGCGUUCCAUUAGUUUGUUGGCGGGGUAACGGCCCACCAAGACUACGAUGGAUAGGGGUUCUGAGAGGAAGGUCCCCCACAUUGGAACUGAGACACGGUCCAAACUCCUACGGGAGGCAGCAGUGAGGAAUAUUGGUCAAUGGACGAGAGUCUGAACCAGCCAAGUAGCGUGAAGGAUGACUGCCCUAUGGGUUGUAAACUUCUUUUAUAUGGGAAUAAAGUAUUCCACGUGUGGGAUUUUGUAUGUACCAUAUGAAUAAGGAUCGGCUAACUCCGUGCCAGCAGCCGCGGUAAUACGGAGGAUCCGAGCGUUAUCCGGAUUUAUUGGGUUUAAAGGGAGCGUAGGUGGAUUGUUAAGUCAGUUGUGAAAGUUUGCGGCUCAACCGUAAAAUUGCAGUUGAAACUGGCAGUCUUGAGUACAGUAGAGGUGGGCGGAAUUCGUGG
rnacentral:rRNA from 1 species